UGGAGAAACUAUUUUACCAAGACUUUGACUGGAAUGGCCUGCUUUUCUUUAAGGAAUCUAAUUUAUCUAUGGAGCCAAUAAAAGCCCCUUGAGAAAACUGGCCUCUCUUACCUUCUCUACACAGUCACUGUACAGCUCUUGUGGCCAUCAAUAUCCAGAUGAUCCUCAGUGAGGGAUACCCUCCUGUCAAUAUUCAAGAGUCAUUCUUCUACAGAAGACCCUACACUGUCCAUAAGUGAGAAAUGACAGGGGCAAAACACUGCUGCUGUGUCCUUUGGACCUAACUGGAUAACACUUUCACUAACCCAUGGAGUUACUUUCAUGCCCUGAUAGCUAACAAGAGGCCAAGACUCACAGAACAACCACCACCACACCUGUCUGCAGUAAGCAAUUACCGAAGACAGAUCUUCGUCCAUUUGUCCUAAAGAAUUGGGGUCUUUGCGCCUUGAUGGGUGGAAUACUAUGGUAGGUAGCUAGUCAGACAUAAGCAGGGCAGAAGAGGGCCCCCUUCCCCAACCAGGAAUGUCAGGCAACCAUCACAUGAUGGUCAGGCAUUGUUAAACUGCCUCUGUAAAAUAAUUGUUCACAGCCCAUGCCAGAGAAAGGCAGUCUCUCAAUAAAAGGAAACACCUGAAACUGGGGACCAGCAGCUUCCCGAUAAGAUCUCAGGAGUUGGGUGAUUGGGCUUAAGGGUGUGCAUGAAGAAGCAAAACGGAAGAGUUUAACCGGCAUAUGACUUCCUUAGGACAUUUGACUGGUAAUGGAAGAACACCUCAAGUGAGCAUGUGUACAACUACAGUAAACACACUGCUCAUGCUUCCCUGCCAAACACCUGCAGGCCACUGCACAAGUAGAAAGCACACCCCAAGGGAAUUAUCAGGGGUGAAAGGAGAAAAGACCCCAAAAGUAUGCCAAUAUUUAAAGCCUUAAGUCAAAGGUCAAACCAUGCACUUGAUCUUUCAAGUCACCUACUUGGUACCUCUUCCAAAUGUACUUUACUUCCUUUCAAUCCUGCCCUAAAACUCUUUAAUAAAUUUAUCUCAUGCUCUAAAACAUACCUUGAUCUCUGCUUCUGCCUUAUGCCCCUCAGUUCUUUGUUCUAAACAGCCCUUUUUUUCUAAGGAGGCAAGAAUUGAGGUUGCUGCAGACGCCUACAUAUUUGUCGCCAGCAACAUACUUUGGUGCUGUGUGACUCAGAUAAAUUCCACUACUAACAUUUAUAGCAAAUUGUUCCAAUUUCUACUCCUGGACA
rnacentral:lncRNA from 1 species